GCCUGAUUAGUACAACGGUUAGUACGACUAUCUUGUAAAUAGUAAAUUUGGGUUCGAUUCCUGGAUUGGGCA
rnacentral:tRNA from 1 species